UAAGGAAUAUUGGUCAAUGGAGGCAACUCUGAACCAGCCAUGCCGCGUGCAGGAAGACGGCCCUCUGGGUUGUAAACUGCUUUUAUUCGGGAAUAAACCUAUCUACGUGUAGAUAGCUGAAUGUACCGAAGGAAUAAGGAUCGGCUAACUCCGUGCCAGCAGCCGCGGUAAUACGGAGGAUCCAAGCGUCAUCCGGAUUUAUUGGGUUUAAAGGGUGCGUAGGCGGCCUAUUAAGUCAGGGGUGAAAGACGGUAGCUCAACUAUCGCAGUGCCCUUGAUACUGAUGAGCUUGAAUGAACUAGAGGUAGGCGGAAUGUGACAAGUAGCGGUGAAAUGCAUAGAUAUGGCACAGAACACCGAUUGCGAAGGCAGCUUACUAUGGUUUUAUUGACGCUGAGGCACGAAAGCGUGGGGAUCAAACA
rnacentral:rRNA from 1 species